rnacentral:lncRNA from 1 species
UCAGAUUCUUAUUAGUAUCAAUAACUACGCAUGUUUGUAAAGACCCAUAUGAUGUAGGCUUUAAUAUUUUGUAUAUGAAUUUUUUUUAAUAAAAAUCAGAUUUACAAUUGUGUAUGCCAGGAAAGAAUCAAACUUUUCUAAUUUUUUUUGAGAUGUAGAUGUCUAUACGUUUUAGGAGCUAACUCAACUAUCAUUAUUUGUUUCUUAGUUUAACCUAGUUGGGAUAUUCUUAAAACCCCUCCAUAGUCUAUAUAGCUUUAACUUCCGAAAACAACUGUUGAUUAUCAAACAUAUCUUCCAAAACACAUUGCUAUAACGACAAAUUACUCAAAUUAAUUCAGAUAGCCAAAUUCACUAUCUGUGAGCAUAAAAUCUGUCCAGUACCUAUGUUGUGUCCACCAACAUUAUCUGGAAACCUAUCAUCGUGCAUAUAGAAAGCUCUCGCAGUAGGCACAUCAUAUGGUUCAUCCUUUUUAUUCUCCAACCAAAUAAUUUAACCAACUAAAUUUGAAAAAAGAAAAUAAGAAAGGUAUUAUACCUCAUUAGCCUUUAAAUAAUAUUGUAUCCUUACUGUAUAUAAAAAGAAAAUGUAAUUUCAAAAAGAGGAAAAAGUUCUAAAAAUGAAGAAUAUAAA